rnacentral:lncRNA from 1 species
AGAAGAACAAAUUUAGGAAAAUUUAUUUUUAUAAUCUUGGGAUGGGGUAAGAGAGAUGUAUUUUCAUUUGGAAAUAACUGUAACUAAAGAGAAAGGCUCUAAAAUAGAAAAAAUGAAGUAUUUUUUUAAACAUGAGCAAUUUUCUAAUUGUGGCAAAUGCUGACAAAUGAAGAGCGGAAAACAGCACAGAAAUUGCUACUUGGAAGACGGGAGAAGCACACUAAUUGCAAUACCCGAUCAUCUCAUGGCUGAGUCUGUGACGACACGAAGAGACACCUGUAUCCUCAGAUCUGGAUGCAUAUGAGCUUUACUGGGAGAGAUUUCACUAAAUGUUCAUGCCUUGGCCCCAUCCUGAGAGGUUGGGUUUCUUUGGUCUUCGGAGGGAAUAUUAAUAUUUCAUUAAUUUUUCCCUAGGAAAAUUAACACC